GCCACAACAUGGUUACAUCUUUACAUGGCUGUUUUACAAGCAGACUGAAAGUGGUGGGCUCUCUUCAUGGGUGUCUCCUCUUUUAUCAUCAAAGAAAUAUCUUAGCAUUCCUCCAGCAAAUGUAUCCUUACAUCUCAUUGACCAUGAUCAGAUCACAUGGACAUCUCUAACCAUCAAAGCAGCUAGGGAAACCAUUACCUGGCACUUUUAGCCACUAUAAUGAAAGAAGACCAGAAGAGAAUACAGGUCAAGGAAUGGUUGGUGUAUACUACGGAUGUGGAAGGCCAGCUCUGUGGUUUUCAACAUUGAUUUGAGAUUCUUACCUGGCUCAGGGGUGAAGAGCCCUGCACACGUAGUGAUCUCUAUCUUUACCGUUAUCAACUGCAACCACGGCCAUGCUUGGCUCAGGAGAACUCCUCAUCUUUGUCUGGUCUGUUGUCAGCUGUGCUCCUGACCUUGGUGCUCACUGGCU